rnacentral:antisense_RNA from 1 species
AUCAAUAUAAGUGUCCACGCUGGGCGCUGGGAACAAAUUGCCUCCCUGAGUCAGACCAGCCGCCCAUGGAUCCUAUGCUGCAGUCACACCAGACUCCUCAUGGUGUGGGAGGCCUGAAGUUCUUUUCCUGAGGAAGGAACUCAGAUAAAAACAAAUGUAAGUUUCAAGCUUUAAGACCAGAAGGGGCAAUAUCUAUGUUUAUCCAAAAAAAGUCUGUUUAUUGGGUAGGUCUCACCACUUUGUCUCCUGAAUGUCUUCCCCUGGAGACUCUGAUCUCCUUGAGGGCAGGGCAUGUGCCUUUCCUGUCUGGAAGGCACCUAGUAAAUGCCCAAUAAGCAUUGGUUGUUAUUGUGAAAGAGCAGUAACUGAUUCAUAGCUGCUUCCAUAGCACUUCCUGGAGUCCAGCACUCACUGCGGACCAGGCUCAAGUUUCUGGAUGGGUAGGAGGGCUGGCUGGGAACAAAAGAAAACAAAGGAAAGCUGAUUUGGUUCUUUGUUCUGUGUAGCCCUGUGCUAAGCUUCCCCCUCCCCCAGCAGCGUGCACAGAGCCUGGUUCCAG